ensembl:snoRNA SCARNA14 small Cajal body-specific RNA 14
GUGGUUGUAUUUACUGUUGGUUGUAUUUUAGUAAUAUAAUGCAACCCUGUACAGCCACAUACAUUAAAACAUAUGGUUCCUGCCGACAGUGUCUGUCUAGUUAUCAGACUUUCUGUGCGAUGGCUCCAUACACU